rnacentral:rRNA from 1 species
CCCUUUGAUACUCUGGGCGGCACGCGCGCUACACUGGUUUAUAUAACGUGUAAUUUGGACGAUAGUCUGUAUAAAUCACUAAUAUAAAACCGUGAAUGGGAUAGUUUAUUGCAACUUACAAACUUUAACUAGGAAUCCCUUGUAGAAGUAGUGAAUUAUACUGCUUCGAAUACGCCCCUGCCGAUUGUACACACCGCCCGUCGUUUCUUCCGACUGGUACUCAUUGUGAAUUGCGAGGAGAUUCUGUCAAAUCGUUGUAAAUGCUGGGUAUUGGAGGAAGAAAAAGUCGUAACA